AGCGAACGCUGGCGGCAGGCCUAACACAUGCAAGUCGAACGAAGUCUUCGGACUUAGUGGCGGACGGGUGAGUAACACGUGGGAACGUACCUUUUGGUUCGGAACAACUCAGGGAAACUUGAGCUAAUACCGGAUGAGCCCUUAGGGGGAAAGAUUUAUCGCCGAAAGAGCGGCCCGCGUUAGACUAGCUAGUUGGUGAGGUAAAGGCUCACCAAGGCUACGAUCUAUAGCUGGUCUGAGAGGAUGAUCAGCCAAACUGGGACUGAGACACGGCGCAGACUCCUACGGGAGGCAGAAGUGGGGAAUCUUGCGCAAUGGGCGAAAGCCUGACGCAGCCAUGCCGCGUGAAUGAUGAAGGUCUUAGGAUUGUAAAAUUCUUUUACCAGGGACGAUAAUGACGGUACCUGGAGAAAAAGCCCCGGCUAACUUCGUGCCAGCCGCCGCAGUAAUAC
rnacentral:rRNA from 1 species